rnacentral:rRNA from 1 species
UGGGGAAUAUUGGACAAUGGGCGAAAGCCUGAUCCAGCCAUGCCGCGUGUGUGAAGAAGGCCUUUUGGUUGUAAAGCACUUUAAGCGAGGAGGAGGCUACUUGGAUUAAUACUCUAGGAUAGUGGACGUUACUCGCAGAAUAAGCAGCGGCUAACUCUGUGCCAGCAGCCGCGGUAAUACAGAGGGUGCGAGCGUUAAUCGGAUUUACUGGGCGUAAAGCGUGCGUAGGCGGCUUCUUAAGUCGGAUGUGAAAUCCCUGAGCUUAACUUAGGAAUUGCAUUCGAUACUGGGAAGCUAGAGUAUGGGAGAGGAUGGUAGAAUUCCAGGUGUAGCGGUGAAAUGCGUAGAGAUCUGGAGGAAUACCGAUGGCGAAGGCAGCCAUCUGGCCUAAUACUGACGCUGAGGUACGAAAGCAUGGGGAGCAAACAGG